AGAAGAAUACCUUCAUUGAAAAUUUAAUUUUUUGUUUUCGCGGUAACGGCAAAAUUAUUCUGUCAAUUUGACAUUGACAUUUGAGAACAGAAUUGCCAACAUUAAUUUUAGAAGAUCGUACCAUAGACUAAAAAAAUCCAAUCCAGACCAAUCAUAGAUUUACGAGUCGGUACCUAAUAUAUAUUUUUAAUUAUAUGAGACCAAUUACUUACAGGAGCUGCAGACGUUACCUCUCUGUCAAAAGUAUAAUUUAUGUUCACGAUCUAACGUGUCUAUAAAAACUUCAUAAAACUGUUUUUCAUAGAACCAAUGUUUCUUUGUUUGUAUACGUUUUCUAAAAAGAGUUGGUUGAAAAAAUGUUGGUUUGUGUGGCAACUUCUUUUAGUUUACUAAAAUAUGAAGUUACGUUUAUUUUGUGCGGAACGAGUUUUGCGAUAGGACCGGAAGAAGGAAGAUCUAAAGGCGCUCGCAAGUGCAAGAUGCGGUUGCACUCGGAGCAGAGAGCGCCGCACGUGUGGCACUCGAUGACCGCAAGCGUCGAGCCGUCGUCGUGAUUG
rnacentral:lncRNA from 1 species